rnacentral:rRNA from 1 species
UACGGAGGGUGCAAGCGUUAUCCGGAUUCACUGGGUUUAAAGGGUGCGUAGGCGGGCAGGUAAGUCAGUGGUGAAAUCCCCGAGCUUAACUUGGGAACUGCCGUUGAUACUAUCUGUCUUGAAUACUUAUGGAGGUAAGCGGAAUAUGUCAUGUAGCGGUGAAAUGCUUAGAUAUGACAUAGAACACCAAUUGCGAAGGCAGCUUGCUACACAGUUAUUGACGCUGAGGCACGAAAGCGUGGGGAUCAAACAGG